GACGAACGCUGGCGGCGUGCUUAACACAUGCAAGUCGAACGGUGAAGCGCUUUCCUUUUUGGUUGGUGUGGAUGAGUGGCGAACGGGUGAGUAACACGUGAGUAACCUGCCCCCUUCUUCUGGAUAACCGCAUGAAAGUGUGGCUAAUACGGGAUAUUCUGCGCCUGCUGCAUGGUGGGUGUGGGAAAGAUUGUGCCUUUGGGUGUUUUCGGUGGGGGAUGGGCUCGCGGCCUAUCAGCUUGUUGGUGGGGUGAUGGCCUACCAAGGCGGUGACGGGUAGCCGGCCCGAGAGGGUGGACGGUCACACUGGGACUGAGACACGGCCCAGACUCCUACGGGAGGCAGCAGUGGGGAAUAUUGCACAAUGGGCGCAAGCCUGAUGCAGCGACGCCGCGUGAGGGAUGGAGGCCUUCGGGUUGUGAACCUCUUUCGCCAGUGAAGCAGGCCUGCUCCUUGUGGGUGGGUUGACGGUAGCUGGAGAAGAAGCGCCGGCUAACUACGUG
rnacentral:rRNA from 1 species